CCUACGGGUGGCAGCAGUGGGGGAUAUUGCGCAAUGGGCGAAAGCCUGACGCAGCGACGCCGCGUGAGGGAUGAAGUUCUUCGGAUCGUAAACCUCUGUCAGCAGGGAAGAACGGUCACUGUGCUAAUCAGCAGUGAAUUGACGGUACCUGCAAAGGAAGCACCGGCUAACUCCGUGCCAGCAGCCGCGGUAAUACGGAGGGUGCGAGCGUUAAUCGGAAUUACUGGGCGUAAAGCGCUCGUAGGCGGUAUGGCAAGUCAAGGGUGAAAUCCCCGCGCUCAACGUGGGAACUGCCUUUGAAACUGGCAAACUGGAGUGUGUGAGAGGAUAGUGGAAUUCCAGGUGUAGGAGUGAAAUCCGUAGAUAUCUGGAGGAACAUCAGUGGCGAAGGCGACUAUCUGGAACAUAACUGACGCUGAGGAGCGAAAGCGUGGGUAGCAAACAGGAUUAGAUACCCCUGUAGUC
rnacentral:rRNA from 1 species